rnacentral:rRNA from 1 species
UACGUAGGGGGCGAGCGUUGUCCGGAUUUAUUGGGCGUAAAGCGCUCGUAGGCGGUUCGAUAAGUCGGAUGUGAAAUCUCCACGCUCAACGUGGAGGGGCCAUUCGAUACUGUCGUGACUCGAGUCCGGUAGGGGAGUGUGGAAUUCCCGGUGUAGCGGUGAAAUGCGCAGAGAUCGGGAGGAACACCCGUAGCGAAGGCGGCACUCUGGGCCGGCACUGACGCUGAGGAGCGAAAGCGUGGGGAGCAAACAGG